rnacentral:misc_RNA from 1 species
AUCAUCAUCCUCAUUAAUCUUCUGCCCAAAUCCCAUUGGUCUUGCUCUUGCCUUUCUUUUCUUCCCAUUCUUCUUUUUGGCCGUCUCUUCCUUCUCAAACUUGUCUUUCUUCCUCUUCUCCAAGAAAUCAGUCACUCCUAAAUAUAUUACCUGCAAACGAAAAUCCUCAAUUGGAGAUAACAACCUCCAACAUGGAAAGCUAACAAUCGAUAUAUAAAAUCAAGAACCCACAUCCAAAGAUUUCUACUUUGAGAAGAAUACGAAGAACCCAUUAUCCUGUCAAUCUUGAAAAAUCCAAGAAUUUGAGAGUUGGAAGUUAGAAUUUACCCCAAUAGUGAGAAUGGAUAAAAUAACAAAGGCAAUGAAGAGAAGAGCCGCUAUGAUGCUGCCCGUUCCAUCAUCAAUAGAGGAGACCAUUUGCUGGGUGCUCUCAAGUGGGGUUGUUGUGUCUGAAGGCAAGGCCUCUUCAGGGGUGGCAUAGAUUCUCCAGACAUGGGUUUUCCUCUGGUGAAUUUUGUGAAAAUGGAUAGCUAGUUUUGGUUUGAGAGUAGUAGAUAAGGAAGUGAAGGGCAGAGCUAAGUUAUGGGCGGUGAUAAAAGAAGGGUAAGGAUAUUUGGCGGUGGUAACGGAGAGGAGAGGAGGUGGAGGCAGUGAGGGACAUGCCGUAGCGAUGAGCUCCACAGUCCACAGGCAGAGCCGAGAUUGAA